rnacentral:misc_RNA from 1 species
UCUCCGUAGGUGAACCUGCGGAGGGAUCAUUACAGAGUUCAUGCCCUACCGGGUAGAUCUCCCACCCUAUGUUAUUAUUACUUUGUUGCUUUGGCGGGCCGUUAGGCUCCGGCCCGACUACCGGCCCCGGCUGGUAAGCGCCCGCCAGAGGACCCAAAACCCUGAAUAUUAGUGUCGUCUGAGUACUAUAUAAUAGUUAAAACUUUCAACAACGGAUCUCUUGGUUCUGGCAUCGUGAAGAACGCAGC